GACUCCUACCGGACUUCGCCAACAGAAAGUCUUCAUCCGAGCCUCUACAGCAGAUGGUUCUCACCCGUAGCUUCAGCGCCUAAGGCCUCCGACAACAGUAGACUCGUCAACAACCUCGGAAACAUCCGAGUUUCUCCUAGAUCGAUGAGAUAGAGAGCCAUUCCGCUCUAUCAGACAUCCCAACCGAGCUUCAACUGAC
rnacentral:lncRNA from 1 species